rnacentral:other from 1 species
UGUCCCCUGCGAUGUGCGUGUAAGGCUGAUAUUUUCUUGAACCAACACCACACGCCAGGUUGCUGAUCUGAGGUGGCCAAUGCGCGCGUCCCUCGUCGGAUGUACCUACGGCCACCCGUAGGCGACCACCUUGAACCGAGAGGUUCAAGAUUCACGGUCUCACGGCAUCGGCGGGGGGCUC